rnacentral:rRNA from 1 species
AGCGAACGCUGGCGGCAGGCUUAACACAUGCAAGUCGAACGGGCUUCUUCGGAAGUCAGUGGCAGACGGGUGAGUAACACGUGGGAACGUGCCCUUCGGUUCGGAAUAACUCAGGGAAACUUGAGCUAAUACCGGAUACGCCCUUUUGGGGAAAGGUUUACUGCCGAAGGAUCGGCCCGCGUCUGAUUAGCUUGUUGGUGGGGUAACGGCCUACCAAGGCGACGAUCAGUAGCUGGUCUGAGGGGAUGAUCAGCCACACUGGGACUGAGACACGGCCCAGACUCCUACGGGAGGCAGCAGUGGGGAAUAUUGGACAAUGGGCGCAAGCCUGAUCCAGCCAUGCCGCGUGAGUGAUGAAGGCCUUAGGGUUGUAAAGCUCUUUUGUCCGGGACGAUAAUGACGGUACCGGAAGAAUAAGCCCCGGCUAACUUCGUG